GCCUAGCCUAAGGUGCCAUAGAUACUAUUGGCUAUUCUAUCUCUAAGUCUCUUAGACUCUAUGGCAUUCAUAAUUUGCUUGUUAAUAUUUACACUCGCAUCUAUAUGCAAAUGAUAAAGUUCGUCAAUCAAAAAAGUACGUGCAACAGCUUUAUUUUGAAAUAAAUUAAACACAUAUCUUUAUUGAAAUGAAAAUUAUAAUUAUCUUGUACCAGCAUAG
rnacentral:lncRNA from 1 species